CAGCUUUGCUAUGAAUAUUAGUUGUUGCCCUGAAUAAAUUAGGUCUUUUGUGCGAAAUAGUGACAACCUUGAACAUCUGCAAUAUGAAGCUUUAUAUAGGAGUGACGCUGACCGAAAUUCUUUUGCAUGCUUAGUGUGAAAACUUAAAAUAACUCAGUCAGCUCUUAAGGAAAACAAAUUCUACUCGGACCUCGAAACCAAAACUCCACCCAAUCACGAAUAUAGACCUCGUGGACGUCAUCCUUUAUGAGUUUGUAGAACACCGAGACCAGGUGCAUGCAGCUUCUUGGGAGGAAAGUCUUUCCUUGAUCGUCAUCUUGCUUCAACUACUUAACUGAGGGGAUAACUUUUUCAUAGAAGGACCCAUGCACAGGAAGGCCUCCGGUUGCUCGCAAGUCCCACAAAGAGAUGGAGAGCUCACCAAUAAAGGUAUACAUUGUGUUGGUAGAUGGACGGCAAAUCUCGUAAAAGGCACGAAAGACAUUCUCAUUGUAGUCAUAUGUGAGCAACGAGACAAAGAUUGCAUCAUA
rnacentral:lncRNA from 1 species